rnacentral:rRNA from 1 species
UACGUAGGGAGCGAGCGUUGUUCGGAAUUACUGGGCGUAAAGGGCUCGUAGGCGGCCAACUAAGUCAGACGUGAAAUCCCUCAGCUUAACUGGGGAACUGCGUCUGAUACUGGAUGGCUUGGAUUUGGGAGAGGGAUGCGGAAUUCCAGGUGUAGCGGUGAAAUGCGUAGAUAUCUGGAGGAACACCGGUGGCGAAGGCGGCAUCCUGGACCAAUAUUGACGCUGAGGAGCGAAAGCCAGGGGAGCAAACGGG